AAAGUUUGAUCCUGGCUCAGGACGAACGCUGGCGGCGUGCCUAAUACAUGCAAGUAGAACGCUGAAGAGAGGAGCUUGCUCUUCUUGGAUGAGUUGCGAACGGGUGAGUAACGCGUAGGUAACCUGCCUUGUAGCGGGGGAUAACUAUUGGAAACGAUAGCUAAUACCGCAUAACAAUGGAUGACACAUGUCAUUUAUUUGAAAGGGGCAAUUGUUCCACUACAAGAUGGACCUGCGUUGUAUUAGCUAGUAGGUGAGGUAAUGGCUCACCUAGGCGACGAUACAUAGCCGACCUGAGAGGGUGAUCGGCCACACUGGGACUGAGACACGGCCCAGACUCCUACGGGAGGCAGCAGUAGGGAAUCUUCGGCAAUGGGGGCAACCCUGACCGAGCAACGCCGCGUGAGUGAAGAAGGUUUUCGGAUCGUAAAGCUCUGUUGUAAGUCAAGAACGGGUGUGAGAGUGGAAAGUUCACACUGUGACGGUAGCUUACCAGAAAGGGACGGCUAACUACGUGCCAGCAGCCGCGGUAAUACGUAGGUCCCGAGCGUUGUCCGGAUUUAUUGGGCGUAAAGCGAGCGCAGGCGGUUUGAUAAGUCUGAAGUUAAAGGCUGUGGCUCAACCAUAGUUCGCUUUGGAAACUGUCAAACUUGAGUGCAGAAGGGGAGAGUGGAAUUCCAUGUGUAGCGGUGAAAUGCGUAGAUAUAUGGAGGAACACCGGUGGCGAAAGCGGCUCUCUGGUCUGUAACUGACGCUGAGGCUCGAAAGCGUGGGGAGCGAACAGGAUUAGAUACCCUGGUAGUCCACGCCGUAAACGAUGAGUGCUAGGUGUUGGAUCCUUUCCGGGAUUCAGUGCCGCAGCUAACGCAUUAAGCACUCCGCCUGGGGAGUACGACCGCAAGGUUGAAACUCAAAGGAAUUGACGGGGGCCCGCACAAGCGGUGGAGCAUGUGGUUUAAUUCGAAGCAACGCGAAGAACCUUACCAGGUCUUGACAUCCCGAUGCUAUUUCUAGAGAUAGAAAGUUACUUCGGUACAUCGGUGACAGGUGGUGCAUGGUUGUCGUCAGCUCGUGUCGUGAGAUGUUGGGUUAAGUCCCGCAACGAGCGCAACCCCUAUUGUUAGUUGCCAUCAUUCAGUUGGGCACUCUAGCGAGACUGCCGGUAAUAAACCGGAGGAAGGUGGGGAUGACGUCAAAUCAUCAUGCCCCUUAUGACCUGGGCUACACACGUGCUACAAUGGUUGGUACAACGAGUUGCGAGUCGGUGACGGCGAGCUAAUCUCUUAAAGCCAAUCUCAGUUCGGAUUGUAGGCUGCAACUCGCCUACAUGAAGUCGGAAUCGCUAGUAAUCGCGGAUCAGCACGCCGCGGUGAAUACGUUCCCGGGCCUUGUACACACCGCCCGUCACACCACGAGAGUUUGUAACACCCGAAGUCGGUGAGGUAACCUUUUGGAGCCAGCCGCCUAAGGUGGGACAGAUGAUUGGGGUGAAGUCGUAACAAGGUA
rnacentral:rRNA from 1 species